UACGUAGGGGGCAAGCGUUGUCCGGAAUUAUUGGGCGUAAAGCGCGCGCAGGCGGCUUUGUAAGUUUGGUGUUUAAGCUCGGAGCUCAACUCCGAUACGCAUCGAAAACUGCAAGGCUUGAGUGCAGAAGAGGAAAGUGGAAUUCCACGUGUAGCGGUGAAAUGCGUAGAGAUGUGGAGGAACACCAGUGGCGAAGGCGACUUUCUGGGCUGUACCUGACACUGAUGCGCGACAGCAUGGGGAGCAAACAGG
rnacentral:rRNA from 1 species